UACGGAGGAGGCAAGCGUUAUCCGGAAUUAUUGGGCGUAAAGCGUCCGUAGAUGGUCGUUUCAAGUCUGCUGUCAAAGACCGGGGCUUAACCCUGGAAAGGCCGUGGAAACUGAAGAGCUAGAGUGCAGUAGGGGUAGAGGGAAUUCCCGGUGUAGCGGUGAAAUGCGUAGAGCUCGGGAAGAACAUCGGUGGCGAAAGCGCUCUGCUGGACUGCAACUGACACUCAGGGACGAAAGCUAGGGGAGCGAAUGGG
rnacentral:rRNA from 1 species